UUUUUGCAUGUGGGGCCUUCUUUUUUCAACGUACGCAUCAAUAAAGUUAUGCAGUUAUGUGUAGAAAUAAAAUGUGUUCGUGGCUAUUUUCCUUUUUUUUAGCACCCGAUAUAUUUAUUUAGACGCUUCAUUCGUUGCGCCGACGGGCGGCGCUUUCGCUCUUACCCCUUCUGCUGCCAUUCCGUGUGUCUGCUCCUGCCGCUUUCACUGUGUGCACGUGUAGAAUUUUCGUAGUAUGCCUUGAAGGGGAAAAUUUUGGUGUCUGUGAGUGCCACCGUGCUCAAAAUGUCCGAAAAACUACGCAAAGGAAACAAGGCAUGCUGCGCUUCUGUGUGGUGCGACAACUCAGGAAGGAACAGCGCAGCGACAUUUUUCCGCUUCCCAGCGACCGGUAAGCACACCUCUUAUUCGGUCGUUACGAAGAAGCAAGCGCUAUUCUUAUCAGAAAAGCUACAGGGCGAACUGGGAAAUUUUCCGCUGUUGCUUUACAGUGCUUUUUUUUUUUGGCGCAGUGCAUUUUCCCGUAAUGUUGUAAGCAUGUAAAGCUAUACUUGUCGGCAGUUUCUCGUGAGCCGACUGAAGGCAGCUGACGUGCAGACAGAAAUGUCGCUUCGGUAUCGUCUGUGGUAGCCGUUGCUCUUAAUUCCUUUUUUUUUUUUUUCACGAGAAGAAAGCUACAAAUCAUGUGUGCCGAAUAUGCUUUGACGAAUUGGUUUGGCUUUAAAUCAUUCCGAAGCCCAGUUUGUUGUAGUGACAUUACCAGCUUUGACUGUUCAUAACAUGAAAGAAGCCCGCUAAACCAUUUACGUAGCAGUGACCGCUUGCAUUCCGUGUUACAAGAAGUUCGAGUUACCUGCGCGACGGCCGAGCUGCGCUUCGCUUUUCAACCAGUGCUUAAACAAUUUUUUUUGUCUCUGCUUUGCAGUCACAAUACUUGGUUCGCUUUUACGUGUUGUUUUUUGAUAUCCAUGGUGCUAUUUCUUUCAUUUUCUAGGUGUGACGUAUGGCGGAGUGACACGCGCCAAAAGGGGAGACCUGGCGGGGCUGGAAUGAAAGCAAAUGUAUAGUACAGCGGCUACCACCUCUGCUCGUACUACUUCACCGAAUGUGCUUACGCCGACCCUGCCAGAACGCGGCCGCUGUUGACGGCUGUUCCCGCUGUUGCAGUGGAAGCGGUGUCCCUGAUCGAUGAAGGACCCUCCCGGGCACAAGUCACGGCUGAUUCGGCUAAAGACCACCCGGGCCAAAACAGCCUCGCCGCAGUGUCAGAAGGCGACCCCACCACAGCCGGCUCCGUCUCCCAUGAAUCGCCGUCUCAUCUCGGUAUCACGCCAUAAUUUGUACUUACUAUACGUGAUACGCAGCUAUACGCUACUGUGGCAUGUACUGAAUGUCUUCGUUUUCGAUACGUUGCUAAUAAAAUAAGUGAAUAAACCACAUUUCCUGACUACUCCUUUUUCUUGCCGACACAAAAUUUCACGCGUCAGGGCAUGCUGGCUCGCGCGUAUUCAACUGACAAACAUUCCCAAACAAAUGUUUUAUGCACGGGCUGAGCUUUCAGGAAAAUUAGCAACCGAAAGCUGUCGAAAAUAAUAUACGCAGCCGCAACACAACCUGA